CCGGCCUGAGAGGGCGAACGGUCACACUGGGACUGAGACACGGCCCAGACUCCUACGGGAGGCAGCAGUGGGGAAUAUUGGGCAAUGGGCGGAAGCCUGACCCAGCGACGCCGCGUGAGGGAUGAAGGCCUUCGGGUUGUAAACCUCUUUCAGCAGGGAAGAAGCGAAAGUGACGGUACCUGCAGAAGAAGCACCGGCUAACUAUGUGCCAGCAGCCGCGGUAAUACAUAGGGUGCAAGCGUUGUCCGGAAUUAUUGGGCGUAAAGAGCUCGUAGGUGGCUCGUCACGUCGAAUGUGAAACCCUGAGGCUCAACCUCAGGCCUGCAUCCGAUACGGGCGAACUGGAGUGUGGUAGGGGA
rnacentral:rRNA from 1 species